AUUUUCUGCCAGGCACACAAACACAUCAAUUUCAUGUUUAAAGGUCAGGAUUUACACAAUCUGAUGGGCAGGAUCAAGUGAAACAACAACACAGGAUCAGAUAAAGUUAUUUAAAAGGAAGAGGGGAGUAAGCGGACCAGCGGGCAGAGGAGCUGACGGAGAAGGAGUCAUGUAAAAGAAGGAGGAAUGAUUGACGAUUUGACAGCAUUUGCAGACAGGCAGAAAGGCGGACUGACAGAUGGACUGAGGGGAGGAGUAGUGGUGGAAAACAGAACCCGAGAGGUUGUCGAUCAUCAGCAUCUCCCCCUCUAAGGUGUCCGUGAUGAGCAGAGACACGCUGUCCAACCACUGGCUCUCCUGGAACGUACAUUACAAACACACACACACGCACACAGACAUAACACACAGAAACAUACACACGGGACGCAGGCCAGGUGACCAGUAUAUUGCACGCAAGGCGGGCAAACAUGUGCACAUGCGGACAUGCGAGAACAAAGAACACGCAGGGAAAUGCAUACCGUUGAUUGAGAGGGGCAUAAAAAUGUUUGUGUGUACACGCAGGUAUUAUGCUUUUUCGGACUCAGGAAUAUAUUCAGUCACACAUAUAUGUUCACCCACAAGUAUUGAUUAUAAAACAAUUUAAAACUAAAAAAAAUACAUCCAAUCAUAUCACGUAUAUAUAAACAAGAACAAAUCCUCUGAUCACUCUGACUCAGACAGACAGUCGUGUUUUUAAAACUGUAAAAAUAAUUCAUAGAGUGCUGAACGAAUGAAUUAUUAUUAGGAAUUAUUAUUUUUGUCUUGAUCAGCCAAGAUUAAUCAUGAUUAAUUAGUUGACAUUAUUUACUCAACCUCGAUGAUCAGUCUGUGACUCGAUCGAGUUGAGGACCUUUUCCUAAAUGAUAACCCUCCUGGCUCAGAUUUUAUUUAGGUUUCUAAAAACUCCUAUUGGAAUAGUCAGGAACCACCUCCAGUAACUAUUUUUCACUUAAUCAACAGUGUCAAACUAACCAGUCCCACGACGGUUUAUCCCCAGUUCACAUUCCCUUUAAGAACACUUUUAUGUGUUUUCGGUGCCUGCAAAAACUCUUGACAGCAAAAAAUAACAGCGGGUAGAACCUGAAACACACAGUCAAACCAGGUCAGUCCUCUGCUGUUCCCACACUGGUCUAUUUCUACAACACUACAACAUUACUUAUAGCACUCUUCACAUUACUUAUGCAACCACACAUUUUAGACUCACACAGCUGCGAUACAAUGGCUCUUGGCAAACAUUAUAUAUGUUAGCAGUCAAGCAGGCACUGCACACAGAGAGAGUAUUAUGAAUGUCCCAUCCUGAUGCUGGUUUAUCAAAGACAAAACUGCUGCCACAUCAGGCUAAGUGUGAAAGUAUGAACACCAGCCUCCCUCCUCUUUUGUCAUAGACAAUAUCGUCCUGUGACAGUGUACUCUGUGUAGGGGCGGAGCCUCUGGUAUAUAAUGUUUGAUUGACUGCAGUGACCUACGUGCUGCCCUUCAUUAAUAACUGUAUUAGUGGACAACAAUAGGGAGCAUCAAUAGGGAAUAGGAGUUCUCAGAGAGAGAGGGGGAGAGAGAGAGAGAGAGAGAGAGAGAGAGAGAGAGAGCAGAUUGAUGAAAUUAAUUACUCUCUCUAUCUGAUUUUCACUGGCAGAGCCAUCAUCUCUCCUCUCCUAUCUCCUCCUUACCAGAGGUAUGUGGAUAUGGAAUUUCUGUUAUGUUUUUUAAUAUAUAUAUAUAAAUAUAAAUAACUAAACAGACUUGUUAAAACGAGGGUUAAAUUGACACAAUCACAACAUCUCUUCCAAGGAAAUAACAUUUUUAAAUAAGAUGCCACAAAGUCGCUGGUGUGCCCACGGUGCAGGAUAAAAAAAAAAAUAAAAAAAACGGCAAUCUUAAAACCUCUAAGCUGCUCUUGUUCUAUAAAAUCAUAAACUGGUAAAUAAUUUAUGGGCAAAAGCGAAACAUUCAACAUCUGCAGUGUAUAAAAUGAAGGGAUUGUAACCUGAAGGCUUCUCUCCCAAAUGUUAGACUUAAAUGUCUGAUAUGAAUAUUAAAAAAAUGUAAUAUAAAAGUAUAUCAAGUAUUUCUACUGGAACUGGGACCUGCAGCUACAAUUAUGAUGUCAAAGACCAAAUGUAUGAAAGGCCUGCACUUAAAUACUAUAAAAUGAACGUAAUAUGUUUACAAAAAUAACUGCCCGCAGUUUUGUUAAAUGCACACAAACACACUGUUUUUCCACUGCCCGUUCAGCCACUGUUUGUUUGGCAUUUCAUUCUAAUUUCUCAUCCAACACGGAGCUAAAAAUGACUCAGCGCAGCCAAAUUUAGCUACAAAGGUGAAACCCUUGAUAGCAGCCAGUGACUCAUCUUCAUAUGCAGUGGCGUCCAUACCUCAGACCAUCAUUAGUGGUUGCAUAAUCAAAGUGCGAGUCCCAGCCAGUCUGAUCGUUUAAAAAAAAAAAAAAAAAUUGCAAGCGCUGCACCUAAAAACGGCU